rnacentral:rRNA from 1 species
UACGGGGGGAGCAAGCGUUGCUCGGAAUUACUGGGCGUAAAGGGCGCGUAGGCGGAUAGUUUAGUCAGAGGUAAAAGCCCAGGGCUCAACCUUGGAACUGCCUUUGAUACUGGCUAUCUUGAGUUCGGGAGAGGUGAGUGGAAUGCCGAGUGUAGAGGUGAAAUUCGUAGAUAUUCGGCGGAACACCAGUGGCGAAGGCGACUCACUGGCCCGAUACUGACGCUGAGGCGCGAAAGCGUGGGGAGCAAACAGG